rfam:Saitoella complicata NRRL Y-17804 DNA, contig: contig032, whole genome shotgun sequence.
GGGCGUUUAGUUUAGGGGUAUAACAUUCGCUUCGCAUGCGAAAGGUCCUGGGUUCAAUUCCCAGAACGUCCA